GACGAACGCUGGCGGCGUGCUUAACACAUGCAAGUCGAACGGUGAAGCGCCUUCCUUUUUGGUGGGUGUGGAUGAGUGGCGAACGGGUGAGUAACACGUGAGUAACCUGCCCCCUUCUUCUGGAUAACCGCAUGAAAGUGUGGCUAAUACGGGAUAUUCUGGGUCUGUCGCAUGAUGGGUCUGGGAAAGAUAUUGUUUCGGUGGGGGAUGGGCUCGCGGCCUAUCAGCUUGUUGGUGGGGUGAUGGCCUACCAAGGCGGUGACGGGUAGCCGGCCUGAGAGGGUGGACGGUCACACUGGGACGGAGACACGGCCAAGACUACGACGGGAGGCAGCAGUGGGGAAUAUUGCACAAUGGGCGCAAGCCUGAUGCAGCGACGCCGCGUGAGGGAUGGAGGCCUUCGGGUUGUGAACCUCUUUCGCCAGUGAAGCAGGCCUGCCUCGUUUGUGGGUGGGUUGACGGUAGCUGGAGAAGAAGCGCCGGCUAACUACGUG
rnacentral:rRNA from 1 species